AAAUGAGUGUAUAAAACAAAAAUAUUUAAAUAAUGAAAAAUAUAUUACAAAACAGAGUGAAGAUAGAAUUGAAAAUGAAAUUAUAAAAGAAGAACAACAAAAAAAAGAAAAAGACAAGAUGAUGUUACAUAAUAAUAUAACAAAUAAAAAUAAAUAUGGAGUUAUAUCUGUAGGUAAAUAUAAAAACGAAUUACGAUCAAUUAUAGACAAAUCUAAUGAAGAAAUUAUGAAAACUAUUUUAGAAAAUAAAAAAGACAUUAAAAAUAAAAAUAGAAUGAAUACAACUCAAACAGGGGACACAUUGGCAAACUUGCAUAUGUUUGAGGAUGGGUAUAUGCAUAUACAUUCCCAUCGUGACUUAUCUAAUGUAACUAAUGGUACAAGUUAUAGUCACACGAAUCAUAACUGGAACAACGGUUUGAUCUACAAUGGAAUUAAUUUUCUCAAUAGUAAUGACAAACAUAAUGAGGAGUUGUUACAAACACCACGAAAACAAAACGAGUUUUUAAAAACUUAUAAAAAUAAUAUAAAUAAACAAAGGAAAGGUACUUUUAUAAAUAAUUCUUUAGAAAGACAUUCAAAUAUGAAUACUGCAAUUUCUCCUACUCGUUUUUAUAGUAACAAAAGAAAUAAGAAUAAUCAAGAAUAUUUACAAAGGGGACGUAGUCUUACGCCACGGAAAAAUAAAAAAAGAGAUAGUACGAGUAGGGAUAAAGAUAUUACUACACGUUUACAUUUGCAUAAAAAUGUAGAAAAGCCAAUUAACUUAGAUGAACUCAAAGCAAAAACUAAAGUAGAUGUACCUUUAGAAAAUAAGGCAGGUGCGACGAAUUUAAAAAAAAGGAAACUUUUGAACGAUUUAAUGGAUACAAAAUUAGUGGAAAAAGAAUUAAUGGAUCCAAUUGAAAAAGAACAACCCACACAAGAGUUAGCCAAAACAACACAUCAUAACAUUGAGGUAGUUAUGUCCACAAAAAACCAAACAAAAUUAAUUGAAAGUAAAGUGAAUUAUACAGAACCAAGUAUAACAACUCAGUCCCAACUUGGAAAAAUACAAAAUGAUAUAAAUAUAAGAAAAAAUGAUGAUAAUACUAAAAAUGAUAAUAAUCAAGCACAGUGUAAUAUAGUUUUAAAUAGUAUAAAUGAAAAAAAUAUUUUAAAAAAUUAUGUAGAGCUUGAUAAAAAUUCAUCUGAAAGGGAUAAAAUAAAAACAUUAAAUAAACUGAGUUUAUUGGAUACUGUACAAAAUGUUUAUUAUAAUAAAGUUACAAGUUUAGUUGAUUUUCAAGCAAAUCUACUUGUAAAAUCAAAUAAAAAAAAUGAUUCGGAGACAAAUGGAUAUAAUAAUACUAAAGACACUGUUACAAGUGCCAGCAGAGUCACCGUUGCAAGUAGUACUAUUAGUUCCUGUAGUAGCACGAAUAGAAAUGGUUGUAACGAAAGCGGCAAUGGAAUUAACAGUGGUAGUAACAUUGGUAGCAAUAAAAACAGCAACAUUGGUAGCAACAAAGACAGCAACAACGGUAGCAACAAAGACAGCAACAACGGUAGCAACAAAGACAGUAGCAGUGGUAGAAACAAAGACAGCAACAACGGUAGCAACAAAGACAGUAGCAGCGGUAGAAACAAAGACAGCAACAACGGUAGCAACAAAGACAGUAGCAGCGGUAGAAACAACAACAACUCGGUUGUUACCUACGCACAACCAGAGAUAAACGCCAAGAAGAACAAUAACAUUAACACAUUUCAACUGUCACGCCAGUUCUUCAUAUCCAAAAGCAAAUUUUUCAACGUGGAAGAAUUCAAUGAAAACGAU
ensembl:lncRNA